UUGAGUGAGUGGCGAACUGGUGAGUAACACGUGGGAAACCUGCCCAGAAGCGGGGGAUAACACCUGGAAACAGAUGCUAAUACCGCAUAACAACUUGAUCCGCAUGGUCCGAGUUUGAAAGAUGGCUUCGGCUAUCACUUUUGGAUGNUCCCGCGGCGUAUUAGCUAGAUGGUGAGGUAACGGCUCACCAUGGCAAUGAUACGUAGCCGACCUGAGAGGGUAAUCGGCCACAUUGGGACUGAGACACGGCCCAAACUCCUACGGGAGGCAGCAGUAGGGAAUCUUCCACAAUGGACGAAAGUCUGAUGGAGCAACGCCGCGUGAGUGAAGAAGGGUUUCGGCUCGUAAAACUCUGUUGUUAAAGAAGAACAUAUCUGAGAGUAACUGUUCAGGUAUUGACGGUAUUUAACCAGAAAGCCACGGCUAACUACGUGCCAGCAGCCGCGGUAAUACGUAGGUGGCAAGCGUUGUCCGGAUUUAUUGGGCGUAAAGCGAGCGCAGGCGGUUUUUUAAGUCUGAUGUGAAAGCCUUCGGCUCAACCGAAGAAGUGCAUCGGAAACUGGGAAACUUGAGUGCAGAAGAGGACAGUGGAACUCCAUGUGUAGCGGUGAAAUGCGUAGAUAUAUGGAAGAACACCAGUGGCGAAGGCGGCUGUCUGGUCUGUAACUGACGCUGAGGCUCGAAAGUAUGGGUAGCAAACAGGAUUAGAUACCCUGGUAGUCCAUACCGUAAACGAUGAAUGCUAAGUGUUGGAGGGUUUCCGCCCUUCAGUGCUGCAGCUAACGCAUUAAGCAUUCCGCCUGGGGAGUACGGCCGCAAGGCUGAAACUCAAAGGAAUUGACGGGGGCCCGCACAAGCGGUGGAGCAUGUGGUUUAAUUCGAAGCUACGCGAAGAACCUUACCAGGUCUUGACAUACUAUGCAAAUCUAAGAGAUUAGACGUUCCCUUCGGGGACA
rnacentral:rRNA from 2 species